AAUACUAAUAUUAAAAAUAAUGUAAAAACUAAUGAAUAACCUAAACUAAAACUAAGUAACUAAGAAAAACAACUUCUAGCCACUUGCGGGGUCUCUGGCCGGAGGAGCAAAGGAGUUAACACGGUUUAGCAACUUGUGGAAUUGAGUUGUCAUAGUGCUCAUGUAUCCCAGAAAUUCUUGUCCCAUGUUAGCUAACUCUUCUCUGAGGGCGUCUUGUUCUGACAUCAAGGCUUGAAUGAUGGUGUUAUAAUU
rnacentral:lncRNA from 1 species